rnacentral:RNase_P_RNA from 3 species
UCUGAGGGAAACUUAUUGGUGGGGUUAUGAGCUGAGCUGAGUGUUUUGUGUCACUCUACUUCACAUCCCCUGGGAGGGUCUGAGGCUAGGACCAAGAGCGGCCCUCCUGGGUUUCAGGGAGGUGAGUUCUCUCUACCUGAGGGUAGACUGAGCAAGAGGUGCCGUGGACCCUGCCCUGGAGGGAGGAGGCUGGCAGAUGCCUCCUUAGCCAAAGCUUGAAACAGACUCAUGGCCAGUAAAGUGAGUUCAAUGACUGAGGGGUCUCAUAACCCAAUUCAGACUUCUCUGCACUGU